GGGGCUGACUGGUAUUGACAGGAAAGUAAGUUGCUUAAUUAGCAUGUCAGAGCACGUUAGUUCACUCUGUAAAAAAUGACUUUCAAACUUUAUAUGGCAACUACAAUGUAGCCAUGGCUGCCUAAUUAGUUAAUUAGAAAGCCUUUAGGCCUUACGCUUGACACCUGAUACACAGCGUGACGCUUAUAAAAAAACGUUCAGGUUAGGGGACAAAAGGGCUUCGAGUUGUUCCCCGAAAUUCAGAAGAUAAGGAAAGCUAUCGCUUGUUUUUGUGCUUAUAGCUUUCUCGAAAAUCCGAACAAAAACUAAACAUGUAGAAGGUUCUGUGACGCUUUGUCUGGACGAGGGUUCGAUUCCCUCCAGCUCCACUA
rnacentral:tmRNA from 1 species